rnacentral:misc_RNA from 1 species
GAAAUGCGAUAAGUAAUGUGAAUUGCAGAAUUCAGUGAAUCAUCGAAUCUUUGAACGCACAUUGCGCCCGCCAGUAUUCUGGCGGGCAUGCCUGUUCGAGCGUCAUUUCAACCAUCAAGCCCCCGGCUUGUGUUGGGGACCUGCGGCUGCCCGCAGGCCCUGAAAACCAGUGGCGGGCUCGCUGUCACACCGAGCGUAGUAGCAUACAUCUCGCUCAGGGCGUGCUGCGGGUUCCGGCCGUUAAAAGCCUUUUUUUACCCAAGGUUGACCUCGGAUCAGGUAGGAAGACCCGCUGAACUUAAGC